rnacentral:rRNA from 2 species
UGGGGAAUAUUGCACAAUGGGGGAAACCCUGAUGCAGCAACGCCGCGUGAGGGAAGAAGGUUUUCGGAUUGUAAACCUCUGUCUUCGGUGACGAUAAUGACGGUAGCCGCGGAGGAAGCUCCGGCUAACUACGUGCCAGCAGCCGCGGUAAUACGUAGGGAGCGAGCGUUGUCCGGAAUUACUGGGGGUAAAGGGUGCGUAGGCGGGAUUACAAGUCAGGCGUGAAAUCCAUCGGCUCAACCGGUGAACUGCGCUUGAAACUGUAGUUCUUGAGUGAAGUAGAGGCAGGCGGAAUUCCGAGUGUAGCGGUGAAAUGCGUAGAUAUUCGGAGGAACACCAGUGGCGAAGGCGGCCUGCUGGGCUUUUACUGACGCUGAAGCACGAAAGCAUGGGGAGCAAACAGG